rnacentral:rRNA from 1 species
AAACUCUUUUUUCUGCGCAAAAAAACCCCGUUCUCCAAAAGAGCCGGCACUGACGGAAUCAGCACCGGAUAACUCCGUGCCAUCAGGCCCAGUAUUUCGUGAAUUGCAAGGGGUGUCCGGAAUUCCUGGGGUUUAAGGGCGCGCGGGGGGGAACCGAGUUUGGUGUGAAAGCCCGCGGAUUCCCGUCUAAGUGCCUUUGAAGCUGCUGUUCUUGAGUCCUGGAGAGUUGGUUGGAAUUGGUGGAGUACCGGGGAAAUGCGUAAAUAUCACGAAUAACACCAGCAGCGCAAGCGAAUAACUGGACCUCUUGUGACGAUGAUGAACCUGAGCGUGGAGAGCAGGAAUGAUUAAAUGACCUGGUAGCCCGGGCCGUACACGCCGAAUGCUUUCAGAUCUACCCUUUGGGAGUUAUGGACCCUUCCUGGCCCUACUGACGCCCCCUGGUCACUACCAGGGGAGGACUG